GACGAACGCUGGCGGCGUGCUUAACACAUGCAAGUCGAACGGAAAGGCCCUGCUCUUGUGGGGUGCUCGAGUGGCGAACGGGUGAGUAACACGCGUGUAACACGUACCUGACUUUGUGAUAACUUCAGGAAACUGCGGCUAAUACCGGAUAGAAGCUCCUGCAGCACGGUGGGGGAUGGUGAGUUUCGGCGGUGGGGGCUGGAUUCGCGGCUUAUCAGCUUGUUUGUCGGGUAGUGGCUUACCAAGGCUAUGACGGCUAGCCGGCCUGAGAGCGUUACCGGCCACAUGGGUACUACGAUACGCCGCAGACGCCUACCGGAGGCAGCAGGCGGAAGCAUGGCACAACAGGCGCAAGCGUGAGGCAGCAGUGCCGGGUGCGGGAUAACGUGCUUCGAGUUGUAAACAGAUGUCGCCUGAGCCGAGGCGGUAGUGACGGUAAUGAGUAAGAAAGCACCGGCUAACUACGUG
rnacentral:rRNA from 1 species